GUUUUAACAAAGCAUUUUUUCCUCCAGAAAUACAAAGCGAUUUCUCCACAAGACUAUUGUGUGGCCUAGAUUCAAAGGUUUCAUUAAAAGCAGUGAGACUAUAAAUAAAUUAGUGACUCAUAAACAGAUAUUUUCCAUUUGGUCUUCUACACUUUGGAAGCUACAAUGAAGUGGGAGCAGUAAAAUAUUGCUGAGUAAAUAUUAAGAAAGAUAACUUGGAAUUUAAGUUUUUGAAAACGUAGAUUGGGACAGUUUUCUCAAGCGCAGAGACAACCGCCCCCCCCCCCCAUUCCCUUGACCUAUUUUUCAAGAAAAAUUUCUUUUAAGAAACCAAUGAGAAAAAAAAAAACAUUGGAAGACAUAUGGUCUUUUCCCUACAGCUAAAAAUAAAAUAAACUGAAAAAAAAAGUGGAAAAGAAAUUAAAAUGUUUUGCUACCUCAAAUGAUUAACAUUAUCUUUGUGUGUGUGUGUGUGUGUGUGUGUGUGUGUUGUUAUAAUUCAUUAUGGCAUUUCUAAGCAUAUCACCAUUAUUUUGCUCCAUUUUGCAAUACCAGCAUGAAGUAAACAAAAUGAGAAAAACCAAAACAACAAUUUUCUGCGCGUGUGUGAGAGAGAAGGGCAUAGACUGAUGCCGUGAGAGAGAGGUUAUUUCAUAGGAAGCAUUAUGUUUUGGCAGAAGAAAUCCAUCAAACAAAUGACCACCUGGAAAGGCCACAGGGAGCCAUCUGGGCUCCAUGAGAAAGCUGACUUGGCGACUGAUGGAAGGACAAGCAGAGAAAGAGAGCCAUGGUCUUUUUGGGUCGUCUUAAACAAGUCCCAGGUCUGUGAGUGCCUUGAUGUUUUGUCUCAAAGUUUUCCCGAUUUUGAGCUUCAUCUUUUUGAACAUUCCGAAUUCGAACAUAAACUUGAUAGAAAAGCACUAACAGGAAGAAAGGUGCUGUGUAAAUAUGCAGAGCUGCUUAGUUUAUUUCAGUGGUCCCAUAUCUGUUGAGAAGCCUGGAGAGUAAGUGAAGUUUGAGUGCUGAUGCGAGGCUUUUCCAAGUCACUUCACCCAAUAAGCCUCAGUUUGAUCAUCGAUAACCGAUCAUAGUUAUUCACUAAGGAUACAAACGCUAAGUAGUGCUUGUCAUACGCUAGGCACUCUUCCAAGUUUUUGUUUAGUUGCUUCCUUUUUUUUUUUUUAAUUGUAAUCCAGUUAAUCCUCAUAGACCUCCACCUUGGUCCUAAUUUUACCUCUGCGUGAAUGGUGAGGAAAUGGAGGCACAGAAAGGCUAAGUAACUUGACAGUUAGUGCCAGAGCCGAGGCUAUAAUCCAGGCAGUACGGCUCCAGAAUCUCUUCUCAUGAACUCUGCUUCAUUCUGCGACCCAAUUAGAAUAAUGAGAUGAUGGUACUAAUCUGAUUGCGAUAUAAAAAUAGUGAUGGUACAAGAAUAUAAUGAGAGUAUUGCCAGAGAACGUCGAUCGCUAUGACCAUUUGCUGUGCUCUGUAACUUUUCUGACACUGCUUUUUAUUCUCCCAGUGACUCUGAGAAGUAACUUCUGUGGUUACCUGUUUCCUGUAUCCGGGACCUGAGGGGCUCAUGGUCGCAUAGAGAUAGGGUUCAAACCAGGAUGAGUCUCACUGCAAAGUCAAUACGCUUAACCAGUGUAACGCAGUGCAAUGAGGGAAGUGAGCCAAGCAAUCUCUAGACUCCCACCCAACCCCCUCUUGUCUUGAUUCUCCGGCGGGAGGGCCUUGUAGAAAGGAAUCAGGAACAUGCGUGGCCCUGGUUCUAAAGACAGUAAGUGAAUUUGGUAGCCAGAGCGGGCCUUCAUCGCAACACGGGGGGAAAUCUGACAAUGAAAAAUUAAGCAUUACAAAGCAGAAUUUCAAUAUUGUCUCACGAUAGUUCAUGUGGGGGGAAUUAAUCUGAUAAAAAUUAUGGUGUGUUUCUAUGACCUGGCAAGGUUUCUGGCAGAGCGGUUGAAGGAUGAAUACACAUUAAGACGG
rnacentral:lncRNA from 1 species